rnacentral:rRNA from 1 species
UACGAAGGGUGCAAGCGUUACUCGGAAUUACUGGGCGUAAAGCGUGCGUAGGCGGUUUGUUAAGUCCGCUGUGAAAGCCCUGGGCUCAACCUGGGAAUUGCAGUGGAUACUGGCAAGCUAGAGUGCGGUAGAGGAUGGUGGAAUUCCCGGUGUAGCGGUGAAAUGCGUAGAGAUCAGGAGGAACACCGAUGGCGAAGGCAGGUCUCUGGGCUGACACUGACGCUCAUGCACGAAAGCGUGGGGAGCAAACAGG